rnacentral:lncRNA from 1 species
GUCUUGCACCCUAACCAGUUAUAUCUGGAUUUUUAAAAAAAUGCAAUUACACACAACAAAGACUAACAGUAUUUACUUAAAAUAUUGUGUGUAUGUGUGUAUAUACACACAUAUAUAUAUAUACACACACACAUGUAUAUACUUAUAUAUAUCUUUUUUGUGAAGAUAUUUUUCUUUUCCUUUUUUUUUUUUUUUUUUGUGCCCAAGUAGAGAUACAAUGGUAUUUGAAAUGAUGCCCCAGAACAGAAAUAGUCCUUAAAGGAAUAACAGUUCAAAAAUAAAAAUUGUACAAAUGGUUGAACAUACUUGCAACACCUCCAGAAAUCAACUCAAUACAAUGAGAAAAUCAAUAGUUGAUUUAAAUUCUCACCCAAAUAACACGACCUCGAACACCAGCCUUUGCAGCUAGUGGAGGCCACUCUCCAGGGAGGGGCCUCCACACAGGCAGCCUCCUGCCACCCAGCCCUGGCCCCUGGAGCUGCCCCUCCAAAGUCACAACAGCAUCUGCUUCACAUUAGCUUUGCGUAUUUCUGGCAAGACCUUGCAACAGGGACACACACACACAUACACACACACACGUGCUAUGGGCACACACACACACACACAAAACACAUAAAUUUCCCAUGCAACCCAGAUGCACCAGGUGAGCUGAAUGAUUUUCAGCCAACCACAAUGACAGAAGCACCAAACAGUCUUUGAAAUGGGUCAGUUAUUACAAUUUGAUUUUUUAUGUAUGUAUAUAUAUAUAUAUAUGCAUAUAUAUACACACACACAUAUAUAUAUGUUCUAGUUUUCCUCUUUGUGUUAUGUUUAAAAAAAAGAAUAGAAAAAGAAAAAAGCACAAAUGAAAAAUGAAUAAUUCUUUCCAGAUCAGUUUAAGGCUUCCCACUGAAUGGAAACAGAAGAGGCCUUACACACUGUCGCAUGGGGUGAAUGCGCACCGUUCUCAGCCUUAAAGUGAUGGAAGAGAUCAGUGUUGCCAGUCACGGGUUAAGUAUUGUGCCUUUAAGUUGAUGUCGUUCUUUUUGCUACUAUGCUGAGUUUUAUUAUUACUGGUUAUUUUUGAUGGCGUAUAUGGAAGUCUCCUCUGAUUUGCUUUAGAAUUUCUUGACCUUACUACAUUAGUAGGGUGGCUUUUUGUUUUGUUCUGUUUUGCUUUUCACCAGGAAACAAAUGCAUCUUGCUAGGUGAAUGCUAAAAUGGCACAUAGUCAGCCUUCAAGCAGCUUUUCUAGCCAUUUGAGACCCAAACGGCUCUUGGGCUCCUAGAAGGCUCAGUGAAGUGCGGCAGGGACGGGAGAGUAUCGGGAGAAACCAAACGGAGGGAGGGGUUUCUAUGCCUUUGCUUUUGGUAAAUUUGUUUUCCUCAAUACAAAUAAUCAGAUAGAUAGGAAGAAUGAUUGCUUUGUAUUGUUGGAUUUGUUUGUUUGUUUGUUUCGUUUGUAGAUUUGUUUCAUUUGAUUGUUGAAAUUUCUCCUCUCCUGGUGCAAAAGUCACCAGAGAGUUUUGCGUGAGAAAACGUGACAGUACUUAAUGAAACUCAGCACCUAAGGGCAUAAGGCAGUUGAAGGUUGUUUAUUUGUUUGUUUGUUUGUUUGUUUUUGUUUUGUUUUGUUCUUUCAAUCAGCACCAAUCCCGGAAAUGAUCUACACUUGGUGUAAGGUAUAAAACUUUUUUUUCUUUUGGAGCAGAGGCCACGCCUCCUCCUCCACCCCAGGAAUCAUAGUGUGGGAUUUUUCAAUACUGUUUCUUAUGUGUAAAAAACAAAAGAAAGGUUUUCUUUUUGUUUUUACUUACAAAACAUAGAGAAUAUCUUUGUAUACAUACGGCGACUGGAAAGAAAGCUUAUCUGAAGGGGACGUGACUUAAUUCUCUG